rnacentral:rRNA from 1 species
CAGCCAAGUCGUGAGGCGUAGCUAAUCCCUUAAAGCCAUUCUCAGUUCGGAUUGUAGGCUGAAACUCGCCUACAUGAAGCUGGAGUUACUAGUAAUCGCAGAUCAGAAUGCUGCGGUGAAUGCGUUCCCGGGUCUUGUACACACCGCCCGUCACACCACGGAAGUUGGGGGCGCCCGAAGCCACUUAGCUAACCCUUUUGGGAAGCGAGUGUCGAAGGUGAAAUCAAUAACUGGGGUGAAGUCGUAACAAGGUACC